UGGGUGGCAACCCUGACGCAGCAAUGCCGCGUGAGUGAAGAAGGCCUUCGGGUCGUAAAGCUCUUUUAUGGGGGAAGAUGAUGACGGUACCCCAUGAAUAAGCACCGGCUAACUACGUGCCAGCAGCCGCGGUAAUACGUAGGGUGCGAGCGUUGUUCGGAAUUACUGGGCGUAAAGGGCGUGCAGGCGGAUUGGCAAGCCGGAGGUGAAAGCCCGGGGCUCAACCCCGGAGGGUCUUUCGGAACUGCCAGUCUUGAGAGGGUCAGGGGCCAGCGGAAUUCCUGGUGUAGAGGUGAAAUUCGUAGAGAUCAGGAGGAACACCGGCGGCGAAAGCGGCUGGCUGGGGCCACUCUGACGCUGAGGCGCGAAAGCGUGGGGAGCAAACAGGAUUAGAUACCCUGGUAGUCCACGCCGUAAACGAUGGGCACUAAGCGUCCGACGGGUUCGACCCUGUUGGGUGCUGCAGUUAACGCGUUAAGUGCCCCGCCUGGGGAGUACGGUCGCAAGACUA
rnacentral:rRNA from 1 species